UACGGGGGGGGCAAGCGUUGUUCGGAAUUACUGGGCGUAAAGGGCUCGUAGGCGGCCCACUAAGUCAGACGUGAAAUCCCUCGGCUUAACCGGGGAACGGCGUCUGAUACUGGAGGGCUUGAGUUCGGGAGAGGGAUGCGGAAUUCCAGGUGUAGCGGUGAAAUGCGUAGAUAUCUGGAGGAACACCGGUGGCGAAGGCGGCAUCCUGGACCGAGACUGACGCUGAGGAGCGAAAGCCAGGGGAGCAAACGGG
rnacentral:rRNA from 1 species